rnacentral:rRNA from 1 species
ACUCCUACGGGAGGCAGCAGUGAGGAAUAUUGGACAAUGGGCGAGGGCCUGAUCCAGCCAUGCCGCGUGCAGGAAGAAUGCCCUAUGGGUAGUAAACUGCUUUUAUACGGGAAGAAAAGGGCACGUGUGCCCUGUUGACGGUACCGUAAGAAUAAGGACCGGCUAACUCCGUGCCAGCAGCCGCGGUAAUACGGAGGGUCCGAGCGUUAAUCGGAAUUACUGGGCGUAAAGCGCAUGCAGGUGGUUUGUUAAAGUCAGAUGUGAAAGCCCGGGGUCAACCUCGGAAUAGCAUUUGAAACUGGCAAGCUAGAGUACUGUAGAGGGGGUGAGAAUUUCAGGAUGAGCGU